GUCCAAUACAGAGGCCGCUGGCCACUGUGGCUCCUGGCUCCUUACGUGCGGCUCUCCUGAACUGAGACACUGGAUUCUGAAGACUUCUAUGAAGUUGUCUGUGAGGUGGGACCACGUGAUGUGCCCUGCACCUCUCUUCCCAGUUCUGCGUGCAGUGAUAGCACGCACGACCCUGAAUCAGCCACAGUGGGGGAAAGCCAGCCGCUGUGUCACGAAGCAGCCCCAUGGAGAAGACCACGUGGGGAGGAACCGAGGCCUGCCGAUACCCAUGUGAGUGAGCUUGGAAAGGGAUUGUCCUCCUGCCCACUCUGUAAUCAUGUGAGUGAGC